rnacentral:rRNA from 1 species
GAGACAAUCCCAGUUGUUUGUACAAGUGGGCGCAUUCCCGAGGAAUGCAGAAAAGAAGUUUAUUAAGAAAAAGAACAAAUUUACAAUUGUAGAAAUUCGAGGAAUUUGACAAGGAAUCAAUGAGAAUAUCUGAUCUAUCAACUAGUUGGUAGUAUAGAGGACUACCAAGGUUAUAACGGAUAACGAGAAAUUAGGGUUUGACAUCGGAGAAGGAGCUUUCAAAAUGGCUACUACUUCUAAGGAAGGCAGCAGGCGCGUAAAUUACCCACUUUUAACAGAAAGAGGUAGUGACGACAAAUAACUCUAUUUUUGCUAUAAAACAAAAAUUGAAGGGAUGAAUAGAACGUAAAUAGUUAUAUGAAAGCAAU